CCUACGGGGGACAGCAGUGGGGAAUAUUGCACAAUGGGGGAAACCCUGAUGCAGCGACGCCGCGUGAGCGAUGAAGUAUCUCGGUAUGUAAAGCUCCUUUAGCAGGGAAGCAAAUGACGGUACCUGACUAAGAAGCCCCGGCUACCUAUGAGCCAGCAGCCGCGGUCACACGGAGGUGGCAAGCGUUAUCCGGAUUUACUGGGCGUAAAGGGAGCGUAGUCGGUGGUGCAAGUCAGCUGUGAAAGCCCGGGGCUCAACCCCGGGACCGCAGUUGAAACUGGGCGACUAGAGUGAUGGAGAGGCAGGCGGAAUGCCCGGUGUAGCAGUGAAAUGCGUAGAUAUCAGGAGGAACACCAGUGGCGAAGGCGGCGUGCUGGACGUUAACUGACGCUGAGGCACGAAGGCGAGGGGAGCGAACGGGAUUAGAUACCCGAGUAGUC
rnacentral:rRNA from 1 species